CGCCCAAGGCGGCUGGCUCUGAUAAGCUGUACAACGCCCAGAGGGACGCUACAAACACGGAUGUUUACCUGCUGCCCAAGAAGAUGGAUGAGUAUGUGGCCAGCCUACAUCUCCCCACGUUCGACGCACAUCUCACAGAGCUGAGUGACGAGCAGGCCAAGUACCUGGGCUUGAACAAGAACGGGCCCUUCAAGCCAAACUACUAUAGGUAUUAAACCAGUGUCGGCGUUUGACUGAAGAAAUACAAAUACUCCAUGAUUGGCACAGACUCAAAGAGGGGGAGGAGGAGGAAGACAGAAGGAACGACAGUCAACACACCUGCUUUAUGUUAUGGGGGGGGAGGUUGGGGAGGAGCUCUGACUGAGAGGGGGCGGGGCUUAUCUUGCGGUUAUGGCAGCCGUUUUAUUUAUUCACGCUCAACAACAAUAAUGAUAACUCUAAAUCUGUGGAGCUGCUCCUGCCAUUAGCCGUUAGCUAGCUCCGCGACGUCUUCUUCCGGACGAUGUUUUACUUCCUUUUUCACCACAAUUAUCUCUUUCUCUUUAAUCACUCAUUUGUAUGUCGACUUGUAUGUAAAUCCUCCUUCCCAUUGCCAGAUCUUUUAUUGUUUAACUAUUAAAGAUGAAAUUAUUGAUGCUAAAAAGAUAUAUACUAUAUAAAAAGAAAAUUUGAUUUAAGAAAAGAAAUCUGUGUGAAUGAAGGCCGUUGAAGAUUCAGUGACGGACACUUUUUUUCCUGUCUGUUCUUUUCUACCUGUGAUUUAGUUUUUCUCUUGUGUAACAUUGAGAGGGCGGGGUUUAGACCUAGUGGGCGGGGAUUAGGCGGGAUCUCAGGGUCCAAUCAUAUCAUGACUUUUAUUUGAUCAUUCUCAUUGAGAUUCACCGUUGUGUCUGUUUUUAAACAUUUUUUUAUGCGUGUCCGAUCAGCCUGUAGUUGUCAGACCUUUUGUCUUAGUACGACUGGACGGGGUCUUCCCACCUGUCACUCAAAGCCACAGUGAAAACAUCUCAUUGGCUGCUUCUUUCUCGGAUUCCAGCUGCUCACACAGCGACUGUGUUGAAGUAUUUCCAGCUUGUGAGAGAUAAACCUUUUCAUUUAGCCUCUUUCUUUACCAAGAAUGACUAUACUGUAUUAGAAGCAUGGCAGGUUGUCAGACCAUUACAUACUGUAUAUUUAGAUAUUUAUAUUGAAACAUUUUCUAUCCUUUUCUCUCCCGUGCCACCUCAUAUCAUAUGUCGUAAAGAUAAGCAAUUAAGUGUUCUGAUGAUAAGUGUAAUAAAUGUAUUUAAGCCCUCACUUUGAAUACUGUGACAGAAAAUAUUUAAAGAGAAACCAAAUUAGCAGCAAGUUGCUGCCUGGCCGGUACUCAAACAGAUCUUCAAUCAGGUCCUCAAAGAAAAAUAUGUUUGUUUUUUUAUCAUCCACACCACAACUCUUUGGUACUCACCGAAAAAGUUCAUUUUAAAAAGUAAGAUCUGGGAAAUAAUCUCUUUUCAUCCAAGAAGCACAUUUACCCUUGCUGUACGUGCGUUUGCCUGUAAACGAUUAUUUCCCACUUUUCUUUCUUUCUUUUUUUAAGUUCUCAAAACUCGGCUUGCUAGCCUUGAAAUAUUUAAUUUCUUUUUCCCCUCCUGAAAGACUUAGAUUCUCUCCAGCUGACCUGACGGUGCAAAUUAGAAAGUCCUGACAGUCAAGUGUACCCCGCCCGCCGCAAUACUGGCUCUGCACCUGAACCCAUCAGGUCCUCUGCUAACCUGCUGAGAGACGCUGCCACCAUUACUCUCACAGAGAGGGAUCACAUGCUUAAACACACAUACAGUAGCUCAUUAUCCAGGUCUUUGAUCAUCUUACACAUUUUGAAUAAGAGGAAAUAGCACAAAGGUUUUUUAUUUACCAGUUUAGCUCAUUCAGACUAAGAAUAUGCACAAUUAAUAAAAUGUAAUUGCUGUGUAACAAUGACUAGUAUCUUUACAAACUAUUUAACAUCAACCAAAGUCUUUAAAGGACUAUUUUGGCAAUUUUUAAAAAUAUUUGUAUUUGCUUUUGUGCAGAGUUGAGAAAAUGUAUAGCGCUCAUGUUACUGUAGCCAGCAGCUACUUAGCUAAUGUUAACAUGAAGGUUAAAAAGCAAAAAUGUCCGACUACAAGCGCCUCUGAAAGUUACGUUUUCAUAAAAUAAAAUAAACAUAAGUGUGUGAGCUUUCAAGGUGCUUGUAUCUAGAUUGUUAACUUUGGACAAAGCCACGCUAGCUGUUUUCCAUCAUUUCCCAUCUUCGGCUAGCCACAGCUACAAUGUUGGCAUACAGAUAAGGGUAGGAUUGAUCUUAUUAUGCAAGUCUCAACAAGAAAGUCAAUAACAGUAUUUCCCAAAUGUCAAGCUAUUCCUAAUUAAUUUGGCAAAAGCAAAAUAACGUAUAUAAAAAAGAUAUACAUUUAUAGGCACGUAGUAACGUACGCCCCAAGAUCCUACACUGUCACAGCAGACAACCUCAUUAUCACAAAGUCUGUGCAUUAAUGUCUCCUUGUGCAGUUGAGAAUCCCUUCUUAUAGUAGUGCGACCUGUGCUCUUAAACCUGUUGUCUUACUUUUCCUUUUUGAAUGUGUGUUUAAGAGUAUAACAUCUGGAGAGAAAGCUGAGGUGAUUAUAGAUGAUGACGUGUGUGUCUUAAUGUCUUUCUGUAUUUGAACAAUUUUUUUUUUUUUUUGUCGUCCACAAUUGCUUUUCGUUAACAGCUGCCUCAGGAUCCUAGCCUGUGCGUUAUGGGGAGAAAGCUUUUGUUUUGUUUUGUCGUACGGGUGGGCGGGGGAAGACACCAGCAUCGUAUCUGUAUAUAAACACUAUAUACAGAUAUGACAACCUUUAAAAGUAUAGGAAGGUAAAAGAAGAAUCCACUCCUGUAUUUAUUGUUGUAAAUCCUAAUACAGUGCAAACUGGCAAAUUCUCAAACAUGUUUUAAGUUGUUGAAUAAAU